AACGGAGAGUUUGAUCCUGGCUCAGGAUGAACGCUGGCGGCGUGCUUAACACAUGCAAGUCGAACGAACCUUCGGGUUAGUGGCGGACGGGUGAGUAACGCGUGGGAAUCUGCCCUCAGGAGGGGGAUAACGGUUGGAAACGGCCGCUAAUACCCCAUAUGCCGAGAGGUGAAAUGAAUUUCGCCUGAGGAUGAGCCCGCGUCUGAUUAGCUAGUUGGUGAGGUAAGAGCUCACCAAGGCAUCGAUCAGUAGCUGGUCUGAGAGGAUGAUCAGCCACACUGGGACUGAGACACGGCCCAGACUCCUACGGGAGGCAGCAGUGGGGAAU
rnacentral:rRNA from 1 species